UUUCGCCCUGUUUAUUCAAAAACAUGUCUGUGUGAAAUAAAUAUUUAGUCUGACCUGCCCACUGAGUUUUAAAGGGCUGCGGUAAUUUGACCGUGCAAAGGUAGCAUAAUCAAUAGUCUUUUAAUUGGGGGCUUGAAUGAAAGGUUUGACGGAAGGGAAACUGUCUUUCUGAUUUAUAUUGAAUUUAACUUUUGUGUGAAAAGGCAUUAAUGGUUUAAAGGGACGAUAAGACCCUAUAAAACUUUAUAUAUUAUAUUAUUUAACUAAAGUGUUAUAUUAAUUGUUAAAUAGUUAAUUGUAUUUUGCUGGGGCGGCAAAAAUAUAACUGUAACUGUUUAAGGUAUGAAAUAUUUAUUAAUAAAAAAUGGUCCUUUAUUAAGGAGAUAAGAGUAAGUUACUUUAGGGAUAACAGCAUAAUUUCUUUAGAGAGUUCUUAUCGAAGAAGUUAGUUGUGACCUCGAUGUUGAAUUAAAUUUUCCUUUAGGUGUAGGAGUUUAAAAGGAAGGGCCUGUUCGGCCUAUAAAUAUUUACAUGAUUUGAGUUCAAACCGGUGUGAGCCAGGUGGGUUUCUAUCUAAA
rnacentral:rRNA from 1 species